GAGUGAAUACAGCUCUUUUAGAAUUUUUUCUAGCAGGAUUUCUGAUUUUGUUCAGAAAAUCCAAA